UACGGAGGGUGCAAGCGUUAUCCGGAUUCACUGGGUUUAAAGGGUGCGUAGGUGGGUUGGUAAGUCAGUGGUGAAAUCCCCGAGCUUAACUUGGGAACUGCCAUUGAUACUAUUAAUCUUGAAUACCGUGGAGGUUAGCGGAAUAUGUCAUGUAGCGGUGAAAUGCUUAGAUGUGACAUAGAACACCAAUUGCGAAGGCAGCUGGCUACACGAAUAUUGACACUGAUGCACGAAAGCGUGGGGAUCAAACAGG
rnacentral:rRNA from 1 species